UGGGGAAUAUUGCACAAUGGGCGCAAGCCUGAUGCAGCGACGCAGCGUGCGGGAUGGAGGCCUUCGGGUUGUAAACCGCUUUUGUUCAAGGGCAAGGCACGGUCUUUGGCCGUGUUGAGUGGAUUGUUCGAAUAAGCACCGGCUAACUACGUGCC
rnacentral:rRNA from 1 species